CUACCGUACCUGAGCAAGAUGGCUGGGGGGGGACUACCCCAGCUGGUUCUGAGCGAGGGGCAGGAAUACACUCAAAGUGUAUUCCUGCCUCUAACUCACAACCGUGGCCGAUUUAGUAUCUCCGAUUGUAUGCAUGUUUUUCGGAUUGGGGAAACCUAGGUGGACACGGGGAGAACAUGCAAACUCCGCACAGAGCCGAGAUUCGAUAUCACGACCUUCGUACUGUGAGGCGACAGCGCUACCCACUGAGCCACCGUGCCACCGAUUACAAUGCUUGCUUGGUAAACUAUCAAGGAUCAUCAACGAUGACGUGCCCUUAGCCUCAUAGCUCCAGGCUAGCUCCCGUAAUUAGUACUGCUCGGUUCUUCCCGGUUUAGCAAUGGCGACCUUCUACACCCGCUGUCAAUAGGAGCUCCCAAAUAUAAACAUCACUCGCCUUCAUAGGAUUUUCACAACGACUAAAGACUCAACCGGCAAAUUGGAGAAAGGCUAUUCAUUACAUGCCAUGUGUAUUUUUGCAACUACCAAGCAAUCCGCCAGGCCGUCUCCAGAUCUCUUGUGGCACGCUACCAGAAAUAUAAACCAGCUCGACUGAGAAUCCUGCUCUGUGGUGCUUUUACAAAACACAACGCAAGAUCACGCCUGUUACACCACUGACUGGUGGACUGAGUCAUUGCACUUGAGAUGAUGGAAGGAGACACCUCACUGCACUGGACCAGCGGACGCCCCCACAGGAGACUCUGACUGAAGCCGGACCGGCACCCAAACUCGGACCCCGGGGAGCAUCUCAAACACCGGGAAAGUUAAGUGGUUUUAAAGACGUACUCAAUUCAAGUGUUUGUAUUUGUCUAUAUCGCAUGAAGUUUAUGUUAAAUGUUACUGAUUUACUGAUUUUAAAAGAGCAGCUGAGAGCCAUAGUGCCGGGGUAGGGAAAGCAGCUGAGUCAGCUAGCCAGAUACUAAAAUUGCCACUGCAUACGUGCCCUGAGAACACAUGUAAGUUUGCUGUGGAAAGUAAUUUUGCUUGCGGUGAAAUACCGUGUGUUUUGCCUGCAAGUGUUAUAAUUCCACUGUAAGUUGCAGUGCUAAGUUGCACUGCACUAAGGGGGUGUAAGUAGUCUCACUUGGAGCAGCGCUAUAUUAGAAAUAUUUGGAAUUACUUGGUUAGAAAAUGCAAUUGCUUUCAGCAGUGCAGGACCUGCAGAAGUUCUCCUAGAGCAGGCUAAGUAUCUGUUUUUUGCAAAUAGUGUAGCUAGAUUAGACUGUUACCUGUACUUCUUUGGAUAAAAGCGCUAUAUAUAAAUGCAGUCCAUUUACUUCUACCUGUUUUGUAGUUUGCCCAGCAUUAGUUUUGCUGUUUGUGUAGUAUUUUUAGUUAUUUGUUCUAACUGUAUUAGGCAGGUCUUGUAUGGAGCUAGUUAGCUUCACAUGGCUUGUAAGUAAUUGCUCAGUCAUCAGCUGCUAUUCAUUUGGUAAUUGCCAGCACUUGUAGUCUCGCUCCCUCCCAGUUAGUCUUAGUGCAUCUGUAUCCUUCUGCCACCACCCUUCCUCUCACUACUCCCUGUCCUCACUGCUCUGUGUCUCAACCCCAUCCCAACCUGUUCUCUCCCCUACAGAACGCACUUCCGCAGGCAAGGCCCCCCAUGGCAACGGAACCUCUCCAACAUUUGCUAUCCCUCGCUGACCCCCUGUGACAACAGUCGCAGGAGGGCUAUGGAACUGCCAGUCUGCUACGCGGAAGGCUG